CCUACGGGGGGCUGCAGUCGAGAAUCUUCGUCAAUGGGCGAAAGCCUGAACGAGCGACGCCGCGUGUGGGAUGAAGGCCCUUGGGUUGUAAACCACUGUCGAGGGGGAUGAAGGCUUGAAGGUACUCCUUCAAGUUUGACAGAGCCCUGGAGGAAGCACGGGCUAAGUUCGUGCCAGCAGCCGCGGUAAUACGAACUGUGCGAACGUUAUUCGGAAUCACUGGGCUUACAGGGUGCGUAGGCGGCUAUUCAGGUCAGGUGUGAAAGCCCUCGGCUCAACCGAGGAACUGCGCUUGAAACCGGAUGGCUCGAGUCAACUAGAGGUGCACGGAACUUCCAGUGGAGCGGUGAAAUGUGUUGAUAUUGGAAGGAACACCGGAGGCGAAAGCGGUGCACUGGGGUUGGUCUGACGCUGAGGCACGAAAGCCAGGGGAGCGAACGGGAUUAGAUACCCGUGUAGUC
rnacentral:rRNA from 1 species